UGGUCUUGGGUGGUCGCGCCCCCCUCUCCCUCCGGGGAUGCGAGGGACGCGCCCCCGAAAUGCAGCGGCGGUGCGGCCGGGUCCCUAGCGCAGUGACUUUUUAUCUCGCUACAAGGAACCCGCGUCCCGUUCCGGCCGGACAACAACCAAAUUUUAUCACGAUUGACCUCGGAUCAGGUAGGGAUACCCGCUGAACUUAA
rnacentral:misc_RNA from 1 species